GCCCCUGUAGUUCAACGGAUAGAACGAGAGACUUCUAAGCUCUUACUAGAGGUUCGAUUCCUCUCGGGGGCA
rnacentral:tRNA from 1 species